ACUGUACAUACAUACACACAUAUAUGAUAUAUGCAUAUAUAUGUAUAAUAAAAUAUAGAAAUGGGAGGAGUAUCUCGGACAUUGAUUGGACGUGCUUCGAUUCACUUUAGUAUUUCAGUGUUUGCAAGUCACGUACUGCUGGAAGGCAAAAAAUUUUUUGCAAAUUUUUGUAAGUUCUUGGACCAGUUAAAAAUAAUGAUAAGCAUUGCUUUUUGAAUUCGACUAAGGUUUCAAAAGUAUCCGACAUACUGUUCAGUGGUGAUGGUGAUGUAAUAAUGUCUUGUCCAUCUAAAAUAGUCUGUGGUAUUCUUUCAACUCUUACACCCUUAUCUGGAAUCAAAAAAGGCAAAUCACCUGUUUCCAAAGAAGAUGAAUCAGUAUUAGAUGUAUUGUUAAAAGGCAAUAAAUUUAUUAAAUCUUGAUAA
rnacentral:lncRNA from 1 species